AAGGUCCCAAAGUCAUGGUUAAGUGGGAAACGAUGUGGGAAGGCCCAGACAGCCAGGAUGUUGGCUUAGAAGCAGCCAUCAUUUAAAGAAAGCGUAAUAGCUCACUGGUCGAGUCGGCCUGCGCGGAAGAUGUAACGGGGCUAAACCAUGCACCGAAGCUGCGGCAGCGACGCUUAUGCGUUGUUGGGUAGGGGAGCGUUCUGUAAGCCUGUGAAGGUGUGCUGUGAGGCAUGCUGGAGGUAUCAGAAGUGCGAAUGCUGACAUAAGUAACGAUAAAGCGGGUGAAAAGCCCGCUCGCCGGAAGACCAAGGGUUCCUGUCCAACGUUAAUCGGGGCAGGGUGAGUCGACCCCUAAGGCGAGGCCGAAAGGCGUAGUCGAUGGGAAACAGGUUAAUAUUCCUGUACUUGGUGUUACUGCGAAGGGGGGACGGAGAAGGCUAUGUUGGCCGGGCGACGGUUGUCCCGGUUUAAGCGUGUAGGCUGGUUUUCCAGGCAAAUCCGGAAAAUCAAGGCUGAGGCGUGAUGACGAGGCACUACGGUGCUGAAGCAACAAAUGCCCUGCUUCCAGGAAAAGCCUCUAAGCAUCAGGUAACAUCAAAUCGUACCCCAAACCGACACAGGUGGUCAGGUAGAGAAUACCAAGGCGCUUGAGAGAACUCGGGUGAAGGAACUAGGCAAAAUGGUGCCGUAACUUCGGGAGAAGGCACGCUGAUAUGUAGGUGAAGUCCCUCGCGGAUGGAGCUGAAAUCAGUCGAAGAUACCAGCUGGCUGCAACUGUUUAUUAAAAACACAGCACUGUGCAAACACGAAAGUGGACGUAUACGGUGUGACGCCUGCCCGGUGCCGGAAGGUUAAUUGAUGGGGUCAGCGCAAGCGAAGCUCUUGAUCGAAGCCCCGGUAAACGGCGGCCGUAACUAUAACGGUCCUAAGGUAGCGAAAUUCCUUGUCGGGUAAGUUCCGACCUGCACGAAUGGCGUAAUGAUGGCCAGGCUGUCUCCACCCGAGACUCAGUGAAAUUGAACUCGCUGUGAAGAUGCAGUGUACCCGCGGCAAGACGGAAAGACCCCGUGAACCUUUACUAUAGCUUGACACUGAACAUUGAGCCUUGAUGUGUAGGAUAGGUGGGAGGCUUUGAAGUGUGGACGCCAGUCUGCAUGGAGCCGACCUUGAAAUACCACCCUUUAAUGUUUGAUGUUCUAACGUUGACCCGUGAUCCGGGUUGCGGACAGUGUCUGGUGGGUAGUUUGACUGGGGCGGUCUCCUCCUAAAGAGUAACGGAGGAGCACGAAGGUUGGCUAAUCCUGGUCGGACAUCAGGAGGUUAGUGCAAUGGCAUAAGCCAGCUUGACUGCGAGCGUGACGGCGCGAGCAGGUGCGAAAGCAGGUCAUAGUGAUCCGGUGGUUCUGAAUGGAAGGGCCAUCGCUCAACGGAUAAAAGGUACUCCGGGGAUAACAGGCUGAUACCGCCCAAGAGUUCAUAUCGACGGCGGUGUUUGGCACCUCGAUGUCGGCUCAUCACAUCCUGGGGCUGAAGUAGGUCCCAAGGGUAUGGCUGUUCGCCAUUUAAAGUGGUACGCGAGCUGGGUUUAGAACGUCGUGAGACAGUUCGGUCCCUAUCUGCCGUGGGCGUUGGAGAACUGAGGGGGGCUGCUCCUAGUACGAGAGGACCGGAGUGGACGCAUCACUGGUGUUCGGGUUGUCAUGCCAAUGGCACUGCCCGGUAGCUAAAUGCGGAAGAGAUAAGUGCUGAAAGCAUCUAAGCACGAAACUUGCCCCGAGAUGAGUUCUCCCUGACUCCUUGAGAGUCCUGAAGGAACGUUGAAGACGACGACGUUGAUAGGCCGGGUGUGUAAGCGCAGCGAUGCGUUGAGCUAACCGGUACUAAUGAACCGUGAGGCUUAACCU
rnacentral:rRNA from 1 species